rnacentral:tRNA from 1 species
GCAUUGGUGGUUCAGUGGUAGAAUUCUCGCCUGCCAAGUGCAAGGCCAGGGUUCGAUUCCUGGCCAAUGCA